ACAGCUUCUACAGCUGAGCAGGCUGCAGCUGUGCUUGCUGACCAACAUGCUGUAACUAAGUCUACUAUGACUACGUCUGUUGGACCCAAACCUGAUACAGUUGAGCCUGCUGCCCAAGAAUCUCAGACUUCUCCUUCUCUUGACCAGCAAUGAGAUUUUCCAGAGAAGAAAGUACCAGGCAUUUAUUUCUAUAAUGGUGCAGGAAUCAGUGAAAUCUACAAAAAUUUCCUUUUUUUUUCCUAAAGACUAUUUCAUUCUGCU